GCAUAGGGGCAAGGAGAUCUAGAAGCUCUCAGAGUUAAGAAGCUGAAUGUCAAGUCAAAAUGGAGAUUGUUAGAAAAUAUAUCUUAAGAUUCGAUCUUAAAAAAUCCACAACGAGGUCUGCAACGACAAACGGAGUCCAACAAGCCCAAGAUCAGUCGAAACAGAGUCUAGAUGAUGAAGUUAUGCAUGAGAGAAUUUAGCA
rnacentral:lncRNA from 1 species